AGAGGAUUGGCUGAGCGGCGAAAGCAACAGUCUUGAAAACUGUAAGAUGUUAACAGCGUCUCAAGUAUCGAGUCCCUUAUCCUCUACCA
rnacentral:tRNA from 1 species